CACAGUGGAGGAUGUUCACAUCUUCUCCGCUUUCCCACAAGGCCAAGGUGCUGCUAUGCAGGUGUGAGUCCAGGUCCUAAGACUGCUCUUUCUGUAAUCCCCCCUUCUUUGGCUCCCUGGCACUGCCUGGUCCUGGGGUGCCUCUGGACCCUCUGUUCCUCCUUCUAGCAGGGUCCUGCUCAUCAACAGUCAUGGACAACUGACCUGAUCACUAAAACCCACAACAGCAGGAAUUAUAGCUGGUAUAUAUUCAGCUUCCCAGAGAUCCUUGACAGUGAUGGGAAUUUGGAACCUGGGAGCUUCUUAGCGUCUCCUUCUCACACUCUGCCUCUGAGCAGCUGGGAAUCCUGACCCCUCCAUUCUUCUGCCUGCUCGCCUCCCUGAGCCAGGGCACUGAGUCAGCAUUCAUGGCCUGUUAGUGGCUUGCAAAGCAGAGCAGAUGGACAGAUGUGCUUGGGCAGCCUAUUGAUCAGCCCUCGGUGUGACCUGCCCAGACCUGGUUCGGUUCCAAGCACUGAUCAUGUGGACAAGGAGUCCUUAAUUCCCCUCAGCACUGUUUGA
rnacentral:lncRNA from 1 species